rnacentral:lncRNA from 10 species
GUUCCGAGUCGUUUGAGGGUGUCUGGUAAAGCAAGCUCGGGGCGGUGUUGGAAAUCUGAAUGUCACCCGCGGUCCGGAGCAGAUAGGAUGGGCUGGGAAGGUACCCGCGAACUGCCGCCGGAAUUCGCUGGCAGCUGUGCGAGGCUCAGUGAGGAAAAAGACAAUUGUCUACAAAGAAAGAGGCUGCCAAGUGGAGACAGAAAAGCAGUUAUGAGACUGAUGAUAGAUUCCAAUUUGUUAUCGGUAGAAAGGAAGGAGGAGACCUGAACAGUACAUCCGGAGAAUCCAGCAAAGCAUACUACGGCAUGAACGUGCAAGUGGACAGAAUUAAAACACAUGCCAGAAACACUAAUGGAUUCUAAACAAGAUGCAGUUUCAUUUCCUGAGCCUAUACGUGAUGUUUUUAACUGUUCUCCAGUUAAUAUGUCUCCAUUUCCAGAAAUCUAACAGGAGAAUCUCUGACUGCUUAACAGAUCACCUAAGCUUGCGAUUUGUGCAAUCCUUUCUAGAGUAAGGGCUCCCCGGCUGCUCCCCGGCCACUGUGUACCCAAAGCAGCGGCUGAAAUAGCCCGGAGUCCAACAGCUCAGCGUCAAGCAGCUCGUGGUUUGUACUUACAUCAUUUUUUUUUUCAGAGCAAGAGUGAAAGUUUAUUAAAAAGCGUUAGAACAGUAAGGAAAGGAAAGGAGAGAAAAUAAGGAAAGUACAACUUGGAAGAGGGCCAAGCGGGCGACUUGAGAAAUCAAGUGCCUGUACUUACAUCAUUCUUAACCCUUUCGCUCCUGGAGGGGGCUCAGCGGGAUCAGGGGGCCCCUGAACUUCGGAACACGCAGGAC